rnacentral:rRNA from 1 species
GAUGAACGCUGGCGGCGUGCCUAAUACAUGCAAGUCGAGCGAACGGACGCUAAGCUUGCUUCUCUGAUGUUAGCGGCGGACGGGUGAGUAACACGUGGAUAACCUACCUAUCAGACUGGGAUAACUUCGGGAAACGGGAGCUUAUACCGGAUGAUAUUUUGCACCGCAUGGUUCAAAAGUGAAAGACGGUCUUGCUGUCACUUCUCGCUGGAUACGCGCUGCAUUGUCUAGUUGGUAAGGUAACUGCUUACCAAGGCAACGAUGCAUAGCCGACCUGAGAGGGUGAUCGGCCACACUGGAACUGGGACACGCUCCAGACUCCUACGGGAGGCAGCAGUAGCGAAUCUUCCGCAAUGGGCGAAAGCCUGACGGAGCAACGCCGCGUGAGUGAUGAAGGUCUUCGGAUCGUAAAACUCUGUUAUUAGGGAAGAACAGAUGUGUAAGUAACUGUGCACAUCUUGACGGUACCUAAUCAGAAAGCCACGGCUAACUACGUG